rnacentral:tRNA from 1 species
GGCGUGGUGGCUGAGUGGUAAAGCACUUGGCUUCUGAACUGAGGUUCCAGGUUCGAAUCCUGGUGAAGACU